GGAGCUACCUCGAGUUGGACCCAGUCACCUCCACCGAGGGACCUGAAGGGUAGAGGGAGACAAGCUGGCCGUGAGGGCCUUUCCUUUGUUCUUUCUGCACACGCUAAACGCUUCUAAAGGGAAGUUGGUCCGUGACCAGCUCGCCACGGUCCCGCCAGUUCACGCUGACCCCGAGGACAACUGUAGGAAGCCGUCUGAACACAGAACACAAAGCAGAGGUCUGGUCAAGUCAGGACCAACCUGGCUGACAGGAAAGAAUACCAGAGCCCUGAGCCCUGCAUCUUCCACCUUUAUCCUGAACCCUGCCUGCAUUCAAGCCUGCCCAGUUGUACCAGUGGAAGUUACUAUGACAACCAAAUCUACAACAGCGGGUAACUGGAAAACAGAAGCCAACAGUACCUCACUGGGUACUGAGGGGAAGAGCAAAGAGCCUUGGAGGAGAGGAAAAUACUCAUGAAGAAGGAUGCUCCAGACCUACUCAGAACCCCUGAAGCAGUCAACAUCCUGCACAGAUUGCCACACCACCAAUCACAGGCCAAUUCUCAGAGAUGUUUACAAUUACAGUUGCAGAGGAGCACAGACCUGCUUCUACCCCCUUAGCCGUGAGAGACAGAAGAGAUAAAUCAGCAGCAGGUGGCAUCAUAAAGGAAGCACCAGCCAGAAGGGAGUCACUUACCAUCUGCUCUCUUUCCUUCAUAAAUUUUCCACCAGAGGCUUCCCUGUUUGAUUUAACAUUUUUGAACACCCAAAGGAGUAAACUAAUUACCAUUCAUGAUAUCAAGAAACCAACAAACUUCAAGCCUGGCGUGGUGGCACACGCCUAUAAUUCCAGCACUCCGGAAGCUGAGGCAGGAGGAUCGCUGUGAGUUUGAGACCAGCCUGGGCUACAUAGUGAGUUCCAGGUCAGUCUCAACUACAUAGUGAGACCCUGUCUCAAAAAACAAAACAAAAAAAGAAAUCAGCCAGGGAUUUAGCUCAGUGGUUCUGCAGCCUGCCUCGUAAGUGCAAUGUCCCGAGUUAGAUCCCCAGUACCAAAAAAAAAAGCAAAAAAAGAAAUUUACAAAUUUCAUUUAAAAUAGGAGAGGGCCCGGGCAUGGUGGUGCAUGCCUAUAAUCCCAGCACUCUGGAGGCUGAGGCAGGAGGAUCACCAUGAAGUCAGCCUGGAUUAGUGAGUUCAAGACCAGCUUGAACUACAAAAUGAGACUUUGUCUCCCUUUUCUCAAAACAAAAAACCAACAGCAAGAACACACACACACAAACUAGGUGGUACAGAGGAGUUUUAGGAGACACUUAAAUGAUCAUUUCCAAAUCAGAGAGACAUUAAAGAUUCUCCAGCAUGAGAAGGGGUGGGAUUAACACUGAAGUAACCCUCCCAGGCAGAGGGUUCACAAUUUUCAUCUUUUUUUUGUUUUUGUUUUUGAGAUAGGGUCUCUCUACGUAGUUGGGACUGACCUGGAACUCACUAUGUAGUCCAGGCUGGUCUUGAACUCAGAGUGAUCCUCCUGCCUCAGCCUCCCGAG
rnacentral:lncRNA from 1 species